ACCACAGUCCCUACUACUGGAAGAGCAUUUUGAAUUGAAUCUAGAAUGUUCCGGAAUAUUCUAAAACAUAGUAUUCUGCCAGGAAUCCAGCUGUCCAAAUUACCCACACUUGCCCGCCUUAGGCCUUCAUUCGCAGCAGGCAUGUGUGCCUGGGUUUGUUACCAGCAGCCAAUUUCUCAUGCUUAAAUGAGGGAUGGGUCUCCCCUUUUCUUUUUCUCAUUUUCCUAGAGGUUACAAGAUUCCUGUUUUUCUCACCAGGAAGAGAGUUCAUCCUCAGUGAGCUCAUAGCAGUCAUACAUUGCCAGUGUUUUUCCUCAAGUGGAAGGAGAAAGGCCUUCAGAAAAAAACUCGUAUGUAAACCUAGUGCUACCUCCAGCAGUAGCUCUGAAUCAAGAUUUUUGGGAGAAUCAGGCUUACUAAAGAUAAACUACAAUAAGUCUCAAGGAGGCAAAUAAUUCUAAUUCUAAUGAGGAAUCCAAGAAUAAAGGCAGCUCUUAAGGUAUGGACGUGAACUGUCUGUGGGUGACUUGCCUGGAUGCCGGCUAUAGCUGCAGCCCCCAAAGUCGAAGCUACCAGAACAGGUUGGAUGAGGAUGGCCCAAAGAUUAUGGAGUUACUGGCCCUAAAGCGAGUCAGACACUAUCGGAAGUUUGCAUGUAUUAUGCCCUUGGAUAGACAACCUAAAUCAUACCUCAUCGAGCAUGGAUCCUGGUCAGCAUACGAAGUCAAGGCAAGUAAAGACUGAAGAAAUAUCACCUGGUCUGCAGCUCCCCCCAAAACAAAGUCUGCUACUGAUGGCAGAAGCAUAGAUAGACCAAGGGUAUCACUAUGUUAUGAUGAGGAAGGAACAACCCCAUGCAUUCACUCAUGUCUUGAAUCACCUAGAGAAGAGAGGGAAUCUGCCAAAGUGGAGACGAGAGAAAUUCAGUUCUAAAUUUGGAGGAAAUGAGACCCACUCUCAGAUAAGAUGAAAAGUAAGAGCCCUAGGAUCCAAUGGGGUAUUAAACAAAUAUUUAAAAGUA